rnacentral:rRNA from 1 species
UAGGGAAUCUUCCACAAUGGACGCAGUCUGAUGGAGCAACGCCGCGUGAGUGAAGAAGGUCUUCGGAUCGUAAAACUCUGUUGUUAGAGAAGAACACGAGUGAGAGUAACUGUUCAUUCGAUGACGGUAUCUAACCAGCAAGUCACGGCUAACUACGUGCCAG